AGCAGUAGCCGCGGUAAUACAGAGGGUGCGAGCGUUAAUCGGAUUUACUGGGCGUAAAGCGUGCGUAGGCGGCUAAUUGAGUCGGAUGUGAAAUCCCCGAGCUUAACUUGGGAAUUGCAUUCGAUACUGGUUAGCUAGAGUGUGGGAGAGGAUGGUAGAAUUCCAGGUGUAGCGGUGAAAUGCGUAGAGAUCUGGAGGAAUACCGGUGGCGAAGGCGGCCCCCUGGACAAAGACUGACGCUCAGGUGCGAAAGCGUGGGGAGCAAACAGGAUUAGAUACCCCAGUAGUCCCUGUCUCUUAUAC
rnacentral:rRNA from 1 species